CCACAUCCUCUGUCACUAGGUUGCCUCCCUCAUUCAGUAAGGGGCCCACACUUUCCUUGGCUUUCUUCUUGUUGCCAACAUACCUGAAGAAACCCUUCUUGUUACUCUUGACAUCUCUGGCUAGCUGCAGCUCCAGGUGCUUCUACUUUCCUAAUCAAGACUGGAUUGGAAAACACUGUCAGUUGAACAUUAAUUAGAACCUUUAAAUCUCAUUAAUUUGUAAUAAAGACAUAGUUAAAUUUCA